CCUACGGGAGGCAGCAGUGGGGAAUCUUGCGCAAUGGGCGAAAGCCUGACGCAGCCAUGCCGCGUGAAUGAUGAAGGUCUUAGGAUUGUAAAAUUCUUUCACCGGGGACGAUAAUGACGGUACCCGGAGAAGAAGCCCCGGCUAACUUCGUGCCAGCAGCCGCGGUAAUACGAAGGGGGGCUAGCGUUGCUCGGAAUUACUGGGCGUAAAGGGAGCGUAGGCGGAUAGUUUAGUCAGAGGUGAAAGCCCAGGGCUCAACCUUGGAAUUGCCUUUGAUACUGGCUAUCUUGAGUAUGGGAGAGGUUAGCGGAACUCCGAGUGUAGAGGUGAAAUUCGUAGAUAUUCGGAAGAACACCAGUGGCGAAGGCGGCUAACUGGCCCAUUACUGACGCUGAGGCUCGAAAGCGUGGGGAGCAAACAGGAUUAGAUACCCUGGUAGUCCACGCCGUAAACGAUGAGUGCUAGUUGUCGGCAUGCAUGCAUGUCGGUGACGCAGCUAACGCAUUAAGCACUCCGCCUGGGGAGUACGGUCGCAAGAUUAAAACUUAAAGGAAAUUGACGG
rnacentral:rRNA from 1 species